AUUGAACGCUGGCGGCAGGCCUAACACAUGCAAGUCGAGCGAGCGUCGGACGGGUGAGUAAUGUAUGGGGAUCUGCCCGUUAGAGGGGGAUAACUACUGGAAACGGUGUCUAAUACCGCAUACUCUCGGAUGUACCCAUAUGGGAUUAUCUAGUAGGGGGGGUAAAGGCUCACCUAGGCGACGAUCUCUAGCUGGUGUGGGGGGAUGAUCGGCCACACUGGGACGGGAACACGGCCAGGACUCCAACGGAAGGCAGCAUUGGGAAAUAUUGCACAAUGGGCGAAGGCCUGAUGAAGCCAUGCGGCGGUUAUGAAGAAGGCCUUAGGGUUGUAAAGUACUUUCAGCGGGGAGGCGUUACCCGCAGAAGAAGCACCGGCUAACUCCGUGCCAGCAGCCGCGGUAAUAC
rnacentral:rRNA from 1 species